CAGCCUUGAAGUGCUUGCACGUCGAAUUGCAAACUCGAAAUCGCCCCAUAUUGUGGCCUGGGCU
rnacentral:tRNA from 1 species